CUGCAUGAGCAGAUAUGGUAAAACUGGAAAGAUACAAAGAAGAUUGGCAUGACUUCUGCCCAAGGAUAAUGCAAAACUUCAUUAACAUUAUUUAACUGUA
ensembl:snRNA U6 U6 spliceosomal RNA